UACGAAGGGGGCUAGCGUUGCUCGGAAUCACUGGGCGUAAAGCGCACGUAGGCGGAUUGCUAAGUCAGGGGUGAAAUCCUGGAGCUCAACUCCAGAACUGCCUUUGAUACUGGCGACCUUGAGUCCGGGAGAGGUGAGUGGAACUGCGAGUGUAGAGGUGAAAUUCGUAGAUAUUCGCAAGAACACCAGUGGCGAAGGCGGUUCUCUGGGACGGUACUGACGCUGAGACGCGAAAGCGUGGGGAGCGAACAGG
rnacentral:rRNA from 1 species